GAUGAACGCUGACAGAAUGCUUAACACAUGCAAGUCGACUCGAGUCUUCGGACUUGGGUGGCGCACGGGUGAGUAACGCGUAAAGAACUUGCCUCUUAGACCGGGACAACAUCUGGAAACGGAUGCUAAUACCGGAUAUUAUGGUUUUUUCGCAUGGAGGAAUCAUGAAAGCUGGAUGCGCUAAGAGAGAGCUUUGCGUCCCAUUAGCUAGUUGGUGAGGUAACGGCCCACCAAGGCAAUGAUGGGUAGCCGGCCUGAGAGGGUGAUCGGCCACAAGGGGACUGAGACACGGCCCUUACUCCUACGGGAGGCAGCAGUGGGGAAUAUUGGACAAUGGACCGCAAGUCUGAUCCAGCAAUUCUGUGUGCACGAUGACGUUUUUCGGAAUGUAAAGUGCUUUCAGUCGGGAAGAAGUCAGUGACGGUACCGACAGAAGAAGCGACAGCUAAAUACGUGCCAGCAGCCGCGGUAAUACGUAUGUCGCAAGCGUUAUCCGGAUUUAUUGGGCGUAAAGCGCGUCUAGGCGGCAAGGAAAGUCUGAUGUGAAAAUGCGGAGCUCAACUCCGUAUGGCGUUGGAAACUGCCUUACUAGAGUACUGGAGAGGUAGGCGGAACUACAAGUGUAGAGGUGAAAUUCGUAGAUAUUUGUAGGAAUGCCGAUGGGGAAGCCAGCCUACUGGACAGAUACUGACGCUAAAGCGCGAAAGCGUGGGUAGCAAACAGG
rnacentral:rRNA from 1 species